GCCUUCAGAUUUAGAGUGGAAAUAUACUGUCAUCUCUCCUGUGUCUCCAGCUUUCCAUGUGACCAUAGAACCUCUCAGACUCCAUAAUCAUAGAAAACUCCAAGUAUUUUUUGCAAGGAAAAGUUGAUGAUACUGAUGAUGAUGGUGAUGGUGAUGGUGGUACUGAUUAGAGUGCUGAUGGUAGUAGUCCUGUAACUUGAACAAGGUUACAGGACAAGUAGAAUAUGGCAGAGAUGGAAUUUGAACCCAAGCAAUCAAAUUCAAAAGACUAUACUCUAAAGCAAUGGCACUCAGGGAGUGAUCCAUCAGUGCCUGUGCACAACAAGGUCCACAACCUGGCAUUUAGUGGUAGGCCUGGAGCUGCUCUUGGUCAACAGUGUCAGAAGUUGGGAAGAAGAGCUGCAUAUCAAGCAGAAGAGAAUGAGAAGAAACAGGAACCCACUUCUGCAUCUGUCUAUAGCAACAUCUGACUAUAACGACCUUCAAAAGAUAAUGGCUGUUGCUUCAUUUCCAACCCUCCAAAUCUCAAGUAGCCUUGUGAUUACAUUGGGCUUACCCAGAUCCAGAUCAUCUAGGAUAAUCUCUCUACCCAAGAUCUUUAAUGUAAUCACACCUGCAAAGUCCCUUUUGGGAAGAAAGGUUGUAGAGAAGGUACUGUUCCCAUUGAAAUCAGUAACGGCCAUGUGACCUGAUUCGACUCAUGAAAUGUAAGUGGAAGAUGAAUGUAGACUUUAUGUGCAGAGGCUUUAAGAGUUAUGAGAUAAUUGUCAUACUCUCGUUCAUAAUCUUUGUACCUCAGUGAUUAGCAACACUCACUGUCAUGGCUUCUUCAUCAUCCUGGGUCCUAGAGUGAAGUCCUAGAGCCCAUUAUCAACCCAUGCUAAAUAUGUAGGAUAAGCAAGAAAUAAGAUCUUCCUGCUUGAAGCCACUGAUAUUUUGGACUUUUUGUUACUGCAGCAACAUCAUGCCUAUCCUGACUGAUACAUGGUAUAUAAUCAUUCCU
rnacentral:lncRNA from 1 species